rnacentral:rRNA from 1 species
AUUUUAAAUAGCUGCAGUAUUUUGACUGUACAAAGGUAGCAUAAUCAUUUGUCUUUUAAUUGGAGGCUUGUAUGAAUGAUUGGACGAGAAAUAAGCUUUCUUUAUUUAAUAAUUUUGAAUUUAAUUUUUUAGUUAAAAAGCUAAAAUUUAUUUGUAAGACGAGAAGACCCUAUAGAAUUUUAUUUUAUUUAUUUUAUUUAUUUUAUUUUUAAAUGUUUUUAAUUUAAUUAAAAUUUGGUUGGGGUGACUGUGAAAAUUAUUUAACUUUCAUUUUUUUUUGUUCAUAAAUUA